rnacentral:lncRNA from 1 species
GAAGAAGAAGAGAAAGAGAAAGCAAAAAAGAAAAGGAAAAGAAAUUGUGCAAAAUUUUCCUAAAUAGUGCAACGUUAGCCUUAAGAGUGUAAAAUUCAUUCCAAAAGAGUGUAAUUUCUAUAUCAAAUAGUGCAAUUUUUAUUAAAACAGUGCAAAUUUAUUUUAAAACAGUGUAAUCUUAUUUUAACAGUGCAAUUUCAUCAUCUUCUUCCUUCUUAUAUAAUUUUUUUCCUUUAUUUUUUUUCUUCUUCCUCUUCUAUAAAUUUGUUUUUGUCACGCCUCUCCGCCAACGGC